GCCUCUGGGUGGACUUGAACCUCUAACUUUUGGCUGCCAACCAAAAGAUUGGAGGUUUGAGUCCAUCCAGAGGCA
rnacentral:tRNA from 1 species